rnacentral:rRNA from 1 species
AUGAACGCUAGCGACAGGCUUAACACAUGCAAGUCGAGGGGCAGCACAGGUAGCAAUACCGGGUGGCGACCGGCGCACGGGUGAGUAACGCGUAUGCAACUUACCUAUCAGAGGGGGAUAACCCGGCGAAAGUCGGACUAAUACCGCAUGAAGCAGGGGCCCCGCAUGGGGAUAUUUGCUAAAGAUUCAUCGCUGAUAGAUAGGCAUGCGUUCCAUUAGGCAGUUGGCGGGGUAACGGCCCACCAAACCGACGAUGGAUAGGGGUUCUGAGAGGAAGGUCCCCCACAUUGGUACUGAGACACGGACCAAACUCCUACGGGAGGCAGCAGUGAGGAAUAUUGGUCAAUGGCCGAGAGGCUGAACCAGCCAAGUCGCGUGAGGGAUGAAGGUUCUAUGGAUCGUAAACCUCUUUUAUAAGGGAAUAAAGUGCGGGACGUGUCCCGUUUUGUAUGUACCUUAUGAAUAAGGAUCGGCUAACUCCGUGCCAGCAGCCGCGGUAAUACGGAGGAUCCGAGCGUUAUCCGGAUUUAUUGGGUUUAAAGGGUGCGUAGGCGGCCUUUUAAGUCAGCGGUGAAAGUCUGUGGCUCAACCAUAGAAUUGCCGUUGAAACUGGGGGGCUUGAGUAUGUUUGAGGCAGGCGGAAUGCGUGGUGUAGCGGUGAAAUGCAUAGAUAUCACGCAGAACCCCGAUUGCGAAGGCAGCCUGCCAAGCCAUGACUGACGCUGAUGCACGAAAGCGUGGGGAUCAAACAGGAUUAGAUACCCUGGUAGUCCACGCCGUAAACGAUGAAUACUAGGUGUCGGGGCCGUAGAGGCUUCGGUGCCGCAGCCAACGCAGUAAGUAUUCCACCUGGGGAGUACGUUCGCAAGAAUGAAACUCAAAGGAAUUGACGGGGGCCCGCACAAGCGGAGGAACAUGUGGUUUAAUUCGAUGAUACGCGAGGAACCUUACCCGGGUUUGAACGCAUUCGGACCGAGGUGGAAACACCUUUUCUAGCAAUAGCCGUUUGCGAGGUGCUGCAUGGUUGUCGUCAGCUCGUGCCGUGAGGUGUCGGCUUAAGUGCCAUAACGAGCGCAACCCUUGCCACUAGUUACUAACAGGUAAAGCUGAGGACUCUGGUGGGACUGCCAGCGUAAGCUGCGAGGAAGGCGGGGAUGACGUCAAAUCAGCACGGCCCUUACAUCCGGGGCGACACACGUGUUACAAUGGCGUGGACAAAGGGAAGCCACCUGGCGACAGGGAGCGAAUCCCCAAACCACGUCUCAGUUCGGAUCGGAGUCUGCAACCCGACUCCGUGAAGCUGGAUUCGCUAGUAAUCGCGCAUCAGCCAUGGCGCGGUGAAUACGUUCCCGGGCCUUGUACACACCGCCCGUCAAGCCAUGGGAGCCGGGGGUACCUGAAGUCCGUAACCGCGAGGAUCGGCCUAGGGUAAAACUGGUGACUGGGGCU